rnacentral:rRNA from 1 species
GACGAACGCUGGCGGCGUGCUUAACACAUGCAAGUCGAACGGAAAGGCCCUGCUUUUGUGGGGUGCUCGAGUGGCGAACGGGUGAGUAACACGUGAGUAACCUGCCCUUGACUUUGGGAUAACUUCAGGGAACUGGGGCUAAUACCGGAUAGGAGCUCCUGCUGCAUGGUGGGGGUUGGAAAGUUUCGGCGGUUGGGGAUGGACUCGCGGCUUAUCAGCUUGUUGGUGGGGUAGUGGCUUACCAAGGCUUUGACGGGUAGCCGGCCUGAGAGGGUGACCGGCCACAUUGGGACUGAGAUACGGCCCAGACUCCUACGGGAGGCAGCAGUGGGGAAUAUUGCACAAUGGGCGGAAGCCUGAUGCAGCAACGCCGCGUGCGGGAUGACGGCCUUCGGGUUGUAAACCGCUUUCGCCUGUGACGAAGCGUCAGUGACGGUAAUGGGUAAAGAAGCACCGGCUAACUACGUG